GCGGGAGUAACUCAGUUGGUAGAGUAACAGCCUUACAAGCUGUCAGUCGCGGGUUCGAGUCCCGUCUCCCGCU
rnacentral:tRNA from 1 species